rnacentral:rRNA from 1 species
AUUGAACGCUGGCGGCAGGCCUAACACAUGCAAGUCGAACGCGUGGCGGACGGGUGAGUAAUGUCUGGGAAACUGCCCGCUGGAGGGCGAUAACUACUUGAAACGGUAACUAAUACCGCCUACCAUCUGAUGUACCCAGAUGCGAUUAGCUAGUAGGUGGGUUAACGGCUCACCUAGGCGACGAUCCAUAGCUGGGCUGAGAGGAUGACAAGCCACACUGGAAUGGAGACAAGGUCCAGACGCCGACGGGAGGCAGCAGUGGGGAAUAUAGCACAAUGGGCGCAAGCCUGAUGCAGCCAUGCCGCGUGUAUGAAGAGGGCCUGCGGGUUGUAAAGUACUUUCAGCGAGGAGGCGUUACUAGAAGAAGAAGCAUCGGCUAACUCCGUGCCAGCAGCCGCGGUAAUAC